rnacentral:tRNA from 2 species
GCCGGGGUGGUGGAACUGCAAGACACGAUGGACUCAAAAUCCAUUGAGCCAAAAGCUCGUGAGGGUUGGACUCCCUCUCCCGGCA